rnacentral:rRNA from 1 species
CAGUCGCCGCGGGAAUACGAAGGGGGCUAGCGUUGCUCGGAAUUACUGGGCGUAAAGGGAGCGUAGGCGGAUCGUUUAGUCAGGGGUGAAAUCCCGGGGCUCAACCUCGGAACUGCCUUUGAUACUGGCGAUCUUGAGUAUGGGAGAGGUGUGUGGAACUCCGAGUGUAGAGGUGAAAUUCGUAGAUAUUCGGAAGAACACCAGUGGCGAAGGCGACUCUCUGGUCUGUAACUGACGCUGAGGAGCGAAAGCGUGGGGAGCGAACAGGAUUAGAUACCCCCGUAGUCCCUGUCUCUUAUAC